GACGAACGCUGGCGGCGUGCUUAACACAUGCAAGUCGAGCGGUAAGGCCCUUUCGGGGGUACACGAGCGGCGAACGGGUGAGUAACACGUGGGUGACCUGCCUUUAGCUCUGGGAUAAGCCUGGGAAACCGGGUCUAAUACCGGGAUAUGACUCCGCGGCGCAUGUUGUGGGGUGGAAAGCCUUGUGCGGCUGGAGAUGGGCCCGCGGCCUAUCAGCUU
rnacentral:rRNA from 1 species